CGUUAACAUUUUCAUGUAUCCAUCCAUUGUUUUGCAUGUUACGCUGAUUUACGUAUGUAUCAUUGAUAAUUGUUAUUAUAUUUUAUCUGUCUCCAGUUUUAUUAAUAGCUUCAAUAAUGGCUACACCAUGACUAUGCGUAAAAGUAAAAAAUAUUCAUGCUUAGUAUUCAUGCUUAGAAGAAACUAAUGAGAAGGAAACGGCUCAAAUCUGUAAGUACACCUUUUUUAGUAAUUUCAAGUAAAAGCUGUGUAUGUACACGUAUUACAUAGUUAUAUAUUUUAUUACGUUCGACAUAAUAAGAUAGGAUACACGCAUUACCAAUUGUAAAUGAUUUUGACUGGAGAUUGUCAAAUUUUUUUGAUACUACCUUGAAUAGUGUCGUGACGUAUUCACCUGCUUGAUUAAUUUCUUUCAUUGUCAUUAAGAAUAAGACGGAGGAUAACACGUUUAGACGUGUACACAAUAAUAGAUGAUAAAGGCUUCUCCUUUUUAUUUAAACAGGAACCAAUGAAUCCGAAAAAUUCUCAUGUCCUGUGCCACGAUGCAAAAUCGAUUCAAGUACCUAUCUACUUACAUAGAAGACAUAUCGAUCGCUGUAUCGUAUUUAUACUCGUGCUCGUGGUACUUACGAUUCUUUUGCGAUCACCGUUAUUAUUUUACUAUUUUUGUAGCAUAAAUCGUAUAUAUUUCUUGUGAAUGAUUCUAAUGAAAUGAAAGCACUUUAUAUAUAAGAGAUUCGGACCUAUGAAAAUAUAAUUUUAAGCGAUACGAGCAGAGGAUAUUACAGAUUGAGUAUAUUUUUUUAAAAACCGGAAGGCAUUACAAACUUGUUACAUACUAACUUUUCCAGAUAAGUAUUUCUUCCGCUAACCAUACCUAUAUAUAUAUAUAUAUUUAGUAUUUACUUACUUAUGCGUGUGUAUAUCCCAAUGUGAACGGUUUCAAGGUCUACAUAUGUAAGUAAUUGCUUCGAACUUGUUAACACCUCUUUUCGAAACAACUAAUUCAAAAGUUGUUACUUCUCCUCCGGAAAUACGUAAACGAAGGCAAUGUUUAGCCAUUGGGACUAGGAUUUUAAUUUCAAACAGAUCCUGGUUCUCUUAGCUUUGCAGUUGUAGGUUUGUACGUGUUUGAAGAUGAGAUGGGAAAAAGAGAUAUCUUUAUAUCUAUGAAAGUUUAGACACAAAUUAAGUCAGCUAGUGACAUUGAUCGAUGUAAGUAAAUGACAUGAUAUAUAGUUGAGAGUUGGUCCAGAUACCAUACCUAACAACGGCAUGGCCGCAUCGCGUGCGUGCGUGCGAAUUUAUUGUUAGUCACGCAGAAGCCGUGCAUUUCUCACAUGUUCGUGAACGAAUGUCAUGCUCAAGGUAAGAAUUGUUCUUUUAUUCGGGUCGAUUCUAUUUAUCGUUUAAAAAAAGAAAAACAACACACAUGUAUAUGUAUGCAGAAGAUAAUAAUCGUAAAUAAAAAAGUUGAACGUCUCUUUUAUAGAAAAAUUAAUUUAGAGUUAAUAAGAUGAACUAUUGAUUGCCGAUUGUGAAAUUGCCGUCUCUAUAAAUUUAAAUGAUUUUAAGCUGUUUUAUGAGUGCAAACGAACGAUACAAUUACUUUCAUUUUAGAACUUUGCGACCUAUGUUGAUAAAGGAACAAAUAUUUUACUGGAUGAUUAAAGUGUUCGCAACGGUUCUUUGGAAUUCGAAUAAGAUCUUAAAUAGGUGGAUGCGCGAUUGUUCUUUUGAUCAUCGUUCGACCGUCUUUUCGCACAUGUUUAAUAAAAAUCGAGUAAUGAAAUUUCGAAAUGCUUAAAUUACUAACUCCAUUCGCCAGAGGGCAUAAUUUAAGUUUAAACGUCUAUUUUUAAACGACCCCACUCUGUGUGUGUGCGUGCGUGCGCGCGCGCGCGCGCUCGCGCUCCCGUGUGCGUGUCAUGAAACGUAAAGUAGUAUCUUUCUCCGCGCCAAGGUAUUUUUCUAAGUAGCUUUGCUGCUUGUAAAUUUUAGUCAGUGUCAAUGUUAAGCAUCUUUGUUGCGAUCAUUCAUCUCUGCUUCUUUUUCCCAUAGACAUGUUUAAGUUAUAAAAACUUGAAAGUUAUACAUAUAUUAUGUAUUACGUAUAUAUUAUAUGGAUACAAUCGAACACGUUCGUAAAGGUAAAAACAAGUGGCGGGUUAGAGAACGCAAAGAAGAUAUAGAAACAUAUAGAAAAGGAACACAAGUUUCUUUCCUGGAAAGGAAGGAUAGAAAGGAAAAGAAGUUGAGUAGGAAGUCGAAAUUUGAGGGU